UACGUAGGGGGCUAGCGUUGUUCGGAAUCACUGGGCGUAAAGCGCACGUAGGCGGAUUUGUAAGUCAGGGGUGAAAUCCCGGGGCUCAACCUCGGAACUGCCUUUGAUACUGCGAAUCUUGAGUCCGAUAGAGGUGGGUGGAAUUCCUAGUGUAGAGGUGAAAUUCGUAGAUAUUAGGAAGAACACCAGUGGCGAAGGCGGCCCACUGGAUCGGUACUGACGCUGAGGUGCGAAAGCGUGGGGAGCAAACAGG
rnacentral:rRNA from 1 species